CAGUAGCCGCGGGUAAUACGUAGGGUGCGAGCGUUAAUCGGAAUUACUGGGCGUAGAGCGUGCGCAGGCGGCUUUGCAAGACAGAUGUGAAAUCCCCGGGCUCAACCUGGGAACUGCAUUUGUGACUGCAAGGCUAGAGUGCGGCAGAGGGAGAUGGAAUUCCGCGUGUAGCAGUGAAAUGCGUAGAUAUGCGGAGGAACACCGAUGGCGAAGGCAAUCUCCUGGGCUAAUACUGACGCUCAUGCACGAAAGCGUGGGGAGCAAACAGGAUUAGAUACCCCCGUAGUCCCUGUCUCUUAUA
rnacentral:rRNA from 1 species